UGGUACAGUAAGCUGAGGCAGGAGGAUUG
rnacentral:piRNA from 1 species